rnacentral:rRNA from 1 species
UACGAAGGGGGCUAGCGUUGCUCGGAAUCACUGGGCGUAAAGCGCACGUAGGCGGCUUACUAAGUCAGGGGUGAAAUCCUGGAGCUCAACUCCAGAACUGCCUUUGAUACUGGCGAUCUCGAGUUCGGGAGAGGUGAGUGGAACUGCGAGUGUAGAGGUGAAAUUCGUAGAUAUUCGCAAGAACACCAGUGGCGAAGGCGGCUCACUGGCCCGAUACUGACGCUGAGGUGCGAAAGCGUGGGGAGCAAACAGG